rnacentral:lncRNA from 1 species
GGUGUACAUUUAUUUUGUUUAAAUUGCUCCAAAUAGAUGAUUUUUUUUUGCUUCCUAGUAAAUAAUAAAAUAAAGAGUUUUAAAGUCGUACCAUUUGAAAGUGUUACGACCGUAACCAUUAUUGGGUUGACCGUCCUUGACUAUCUGUGGCACAGACCAUAGCUAUGUUUCAAAAGUCUUACUCACACUCCGUUGACAGAUAACGUUAAAAUUAUGUGUUUAUAGAUGUUCUCUUUUUGAUUUACAUAUGAAUUCGGUAGUUUGUCACACUUAUAAAACACUUGAAACUUUUGGUUUCAAGAAACUUUAUCUUCGUAUUGGAUUUGACCUUUCAACAGUUUUUAAUUUAAACUUCGCUAAUGAGUCUCGUGUAGACGAAACGCACGUUUUCCGUUUUAUUCCACAAAACCUGGUUCAACCCACCAUUUUUUUCUUGAAAAAAUGUCCUGUACCAAGUCAGGAAUAUGGUCAUUGUUAUAUUAUAGUUCGUUUCUGUGUGUGUUACAUUUUAAUGUGUUUCUUUUGUGUCGUUUGUUUCCUCUUAUAUUUGAGUGUGAAUUCACAUUAUUAUAAGACGUGUCACGGUACUUUUCUAUCCCAAAUUUUGUAUUUAUUUUUAAUGUUAUAUUUGUUGUUUACAUCGAAUUUUGUCUAAUGCUCUGUUCGUUUCUGUGUGUGUUACAUUUUAAUAUUGUGUCGUCAUUCUUCUCUUAAUGUGUUUCCCUCGGUUUUGGUUUGUGACACGGAUUUGUUUUUUUCUGUCGAUUUGUGAGUUUUGAACAUCGGUAUACUACUGUUGCCUUUAUUUACGUUAAAUAUUGUAACCCUGUUUUUUAUGAGUUUUAAUUACACAAUAAGCGAAAAAAAAUCAGCUGAAGGGUC